UACGUAGGUGGCAAGCGUUAUCCGGAUUUACUGGGUGUAAAGGGAGCGUAGGUGGCAUGGUAAGCCAGAAGUGAAAACCCGGGGCUCAACCCCGCGGAUUGCUUUUGGAACUAUCAGGCUGGAGUGCUGGAGGGGUAAGCGGAAUUCCUAGUGUAGCGGUGAAAUGCGUAGAUAUUAGGAGGAACACCGGUGGCGAAGGCGGCUUACUGGACAGAAACUGACACUGAGGCUCGAAAGCGUGGGGAGCAAACAGG
rnacentral:rRNA from 1 species